rfam:Myotis lucifugus cont2.1212, whole genome shotgun sequence.
CAUGCACCGGUGGGGUCCCUAGGCCUGGCCUGCACUAUCUCGUAACCUGGGAUCCCUUGAGGGAUGUCAGACUGCCAGUUUCAGCCUGAUCCCUGCAGGCCAGGCUGAGGGACUCCACCGGUGCACG